UACGAAGGGGGCUAGCGUUGUUCGGAUUUACUGGGCGUAAAGCGCACGUAGGCGGAUCGAUCAGUCAGGGGUGAAAUCCCAGAGCUCAACUCUGGACCUGCCUUUGAUACUGUCGAUCUGGAGUAUGGAAGAGGUGAGUGGAAUUCCGAGUGUAGAGGUGAAAUUCGUAGAUAUUCGGAGGAACACCAGUGGCGAAGGCGGCUCACUGGUCCAUUACUGACGCUGAGGUGCGAAGCGUGGGAGCAAACAGGAU
rnacentral:rRNA from 1 species